AAGCAAAUCAUGCACCCUCUUCGUUGACUUUAUAUUGGGUGCCCUUUCUUUCAAAUUUGAAGUUCUUGGAGUCCAACUUGUGUGGUAAAUGUUGUUAUAGGCGAGAUUAGAGUUCAGUGAGGUGCAAGUUAUUGGAGAUUAAGUUAUUUGUUGAUGACUUGCGAUGGAAAUAAGUUUGAGAAAUUAUCUUUUUUAUACUGGAGCAAAUGAAUUGGCUUAAUGUAGUGAAUCACUUGCCCAUUGUAAAAAUUUGCUUGAAAGGAUUUGCAAAACGAGGUAUUCUUCAGAUGAACCAGUAGCCACUACAGGAAGUGAGGAAGCUGAUAAUAUUGCACUUCAUGCGUGGGAGAAAAUAUUAAGAACCCUGCUUUGAGUUAAUCUUUUGGGAAUUGCGAGUAUAAGAUCUCCUGGCACAACACCGUCUGAGACUACAGUGACUGGGUUACCAAGCCAACCUCCGCAAUUUUACACAAAACACGCCUCCACACCCAGUGAGCCAACACUGCUGAUUGAAAGUCCUUGCAGCCAUAUGACAACAUUAGAGGGUGAACCUACGAUGGCAAUUGAGCAACCAACUUCCACAAUGUUUGAUUUGGGUGCUGAGACAACAUUACUUGAGGAGCUUGACAAUUUUUCUGUCAUUUCACUACCUAAUCAGGUCAGGUCAGAUUGUAUGGCUAUUGCAACAAACCCUGAUGCAGUUUGUAAAAUCCCACAUGAACUGUUUGAUAAAAUGCAUGAGAGAAAAGGGCAAAAACAUGUUGCUACUAAUUUUGACAAAUUGUUUCGCCAAUUAUGCACACCUAAUUUUGCAAUGGGGAAGUUGAUGCGAUCACUAUUUCUAUCAUCAGUAAGCACACACUCAAGGUUGUCAACGAAAUUUGUCAUGAAUGAAAAUAGACUUACGCUGCCCUUGGAAGUUGUUGCCGUGCUGAAGACGAGAACUGAGGCCGCGUAUCACUCUUCCAAUUCCAAUUUUGCACUGUGUAAAUUCCGAGCUUUCAAGAAAUGCACAGUGAUUUUCCUGUAGUUAAACCAUCGUCGUUAGUUAAUGUGUAUAAAAUAAUCAAUUGAGACCUAGAAUUUUGGAAAUCUGGAAAUCACCUCUUCGGUUUGUGUAA